GGCUUUUCAGAUGAGCCUAUCUAAAGCUAAAGAACUGUUGAAGAACUACACCAAAGCAGUGAUUGAUACCAUUCGGUUUCUCCAAAGAGCUGCGUUGGUCCUCCUUCCCUCAAUCUGCUCUGCUAGAAGCUGCUCAGAAAGACUCAAGGACACACAGCAUGCUUUACUGACCCUAGACACAGAGUUCCAGUCACUUGUUUCACAGCUUCAAGCUCAAACCCCCCAACAUCCCUGCUUCAAGCCACAGCAGAUUGAAUUUCUACACACGCAGGUUCUAGGCGAGCUCCUGGUCAGGCUAUCAACCCUCAAGGCCCAGGCUCAAAUUCAUGUAGAAUCUUUGAAGAGGUGUGUUGAGUGCCAGAAACAUUUUCGUAAAUGCUACAAGAAGCUUUGCCAGCAAGUGAGAGACUUGGAAACAUUGCUGUUAAAGUGUGCUUCCAAAAAAAUUACUUCACACAAAGACUGCAAAGACCAGCAACAGAAACUCAAGGUAAAGUCAAAUAAAACCCUUUCCUGUAGAAAGAAUUGUAUUUGUUAGCAUUAGUUCCCCUUUUAACCUGAAGAUCUGUAUCAUUUAUCUGUGUGGUUUGCCAACUGAUGCAAUGAGAUCCAUAUGGUUUUGCUGGUAGGCUAUUACAUUUAAGUAUAUUCCUCAUCUUUUUAGGCUCUAGUGGAAGAGGUUGCCAUACUUCCUGGAAAACUGGAGAAUCUGAGAGAGUGGUGUUCACUGUAUGGGUGCAGAGCCAACAGGGAGGAUGCCGUGAGUGCUAUCUGGGCUCAGGUGGCAAAAUUACAGCGCUGUGCCAAUGAUCUGCAGACACGCUCAGAACACUUGGAAGCAGAGUGGAGCAGCGUCACAAGGAGUGUGGAGCAGGCAGCCACUGUGCUGGAGCAAAUGGAUGCAGAACUUCCAGACAGCAGCAGAGAGAAUCUGACUGGUGAUGAGCUGCAAGAUCUGCUGCUCUUCUGGUCCCAGUACCAGGACAGACUGGACUGUGAACAAAGAGCUCUCUCCGCUUUGGAAUUAAGAGCUGCAAGGUUGCUUGGCGUUCCACCCAACCUGGAACAGGCUCCGCCCAUUGAGCUGUGCCAAGAGCUUCAAGCCUUGCAAGAACAUUACCAUAGUCUAAAGGAACGUAGCUCUCAGGGUCUGAGGACAGUAAGAACAGAGGUGGAGGAGAGGGAACGAGUGCAGGAGCAGCUGGAGGGAGUCAGAGAAUGGCUGGAAUCUGCCAACUCUCACCUCGCUGUACUGGAGCACGAGCCCAGCAAGAAACAACUACAGGUUAGUCACUUGUCUUGUGAUUGUGCUUUGUUAAGCUGGUUUUUAUCUACUUUAGAUGUUUUUUUUUUUUUGUAUUUUUUUUUUUUACUUGAGUUAAAGAAUUGCAUUAUAACUUUGCACAAGCAAGAUUUAUUAAAGUUAGUAAAUCUAUUGCACCAGCCUGAGAAUUACUAA
ensembl:lncRNA